UCCAGAGACCCACAUGUGCAGAGUACAAAUGCUUUUUCAUGCUAAUCAUUCUUUGUCUGGCUCUGCAGGAUGACUCUGAAUUUGCUUCAGAUUACAUUUCCUUCCAAAUACCUGAUGAGUCUUUUGUAGAUGUAACAAAUUGUAUGGCGGUAGUGAGGAGACCUACGAAUGAAUGUGAAGUAGGGAGGACCUUUGGAAGGAUUUUGUUGUGCAUCCCUCCCGGUCACUGUUUUGUGGAUUUGGCUCUAUAUGAGGAACCACUUGUGCAAAUAACUGAGAGUUGUACCAAUUGAAGGACCCUAUCUUACAACUGGAGAUGGAGAAUGAGAAGCUUCACAGCAUUCCCCAUGCUGUAGUUCCUCCCUUGUCAAUUAGUGGUAAGAAAAUUUUGACAGUCAUACAAUUGAGCUAAGGAUCAAUUCAUUGUGAUGACAUCAAUUGUAUAGUGAUGAAGAUUUUUUCUUUGAGCUUCUUACCAUGUCCAUUUCCUCUUUUGGAUGUCUAGAAACUUAUUGUUGCCCCAUACUCUUUCCUUUGUGUAUCAAUGUUUGAUAAACUUGCCAGUGUCAGUAACAAAUUUAUCUCGUUGGCUGGGUGUUGGAAUUGAAUUAAUCCUGUCCAUGCUCCUUACUACAUUUCCACUUAGAACCUACUCUUAGAGUGUAAAUGUGACUGGCAUAGGUACAUUGUGCGCCUUUAAUGGACCACUUCGUGUUUGUUCCUACAGAUUGAAGAAGUGCAAAAGUAUGCUCCAAAGAAAAUAUUUUUUCAGUUGAAGAAGUAAAAUACUGAAAUAUUAGGUUUUCCCCUAAAUUUUAAAUCAAUUGAGAGGACAAAGUGCAAAAAGAAUGAAUCUAUAGUCGCCAGACAAAUGCAUAAAGAAUAAUCAUUCUCUUAUGGUAGGUGCA